GGAAGAUGCCGCUAAAUGGUCGGCAACCGGUCUUGAAAACCGGGGUACAGGUAACUGUAGGGGUUCGAUUCCUCCAUCUUCCGCC
rnacentral:tRNA from 1 species